AAGGUCAGGCUGAAGACCUUACCGGAUUAGCUGAGAGGUGGUGCAUGGCCGUCGUCAGUUCGUACUGUGAAGCAUCCUGUUAAGUCAGGCAACGAGCGAGACCCACGUCCACAGUUGCCAGCAUACCCUCCGGGGUGAUGGGUACACUGUGGAGACCGCCGCUGCUAAAGCGGAGGAAGGAAUGGGCAACGGUAGGUCAGUAUGCCCCGAAUCUCCCGGGCUACACGCGGGCUACAAUGGUUGGUACAAUGGGCAUCUACCCCGAAAGGGGACGGGAAUCUCCUAAAACCAAUCUUAGUUCGGAUUGAGGGCUGCAACUCGCCCUCAUGAAGCUGGAAUCCGUAGUAAUCGCGUUUCAACAGAACGCGGUGAAUACGUCCCUGCUCCUU
rnacentral:rRNA from 1 species